rnacentral:rRNA from 1 species
CACGUAGUUAGCCGGUGCUUAUUCUUACGGUACCGUCAUGAUCCCCAGGUAUUAACCAGAGACUUUUCGUUCCGUACAAAAGCAGUUUACAACCCGAAGGCCUUCAUCCUGCACGCGGCAUGGCUGGAUCAGGGUUGCCCCCAUUGUCCAAAAUUCCCCACUGCUGCCUCCCGUAGGAGUCUGGGCCGUGUCUCAGUCCCAGUGUGGCUGAUCAUCCUCUCAGACCAGCUACAGAUCGCAGGCUUGGUAAGCUCUUAUCCCACCAACUACCUAAUCUGCCAUCGGCCGCUCCGUGAGCGCAAGGCCCGAAGGUCCCCUGCUUUCAUCCUGAGAUCGUAUGCGGUAUUAGCAAAGCUUUCGCCUCGUUAUCCCCCACUCUCGGGCACGUUCCGAUGUAUUACUCACCCGUUCGCCACUCGUCGGCACCCGAAGGCCCGUUACCGUUCGACUUGCAUGUGUAAGGCAUGCCGCCAGCGUUCAAUCUGAGCCAGGAUCAAACU